rnacentral:lncRNA from 1 species
CGUGCGUACGUGCGUACGCGCGACGCGGCCACGCCUCUGGGGGACGGGGCACUCUUCGUCACGUGAAAGGGAACUGGGCGUUUGCCGCAGGGAAAAGUAAGGUGUUUCUGCUCUCGCGCCAUAUGCAGUUCCCGCGGGAUCUCGUUGAGGGCGGGGCACCCAGUUCCUUACGAAAGGGAUGGAGGGGGUGGUACUUCUAAAGUUGGCGGUGUUUCGUACCGGCCGCGGGAUUUCGCGGACUGGGGCGCUGAGGUUCUUUGAGCGGCGUGUGGACCUGAAUUCCCUGGAAACAGGCUGGGGCCGCGAGGGGCCUCCGCUCCGGGCGGGGGCCCCUGAAGCCGGCGUCCCUCUUAGGGGACGCGCCUGGGUGUGUCUUCACCGUUUGCCUGGUGAGUUGGAGACAGGGUCUCGCUCCGUCGCCCAGGCUGGAGUGCAGUGGUAGGAUCAGGGUUCAUUGUAGCCUCCGCCUCAGCCUCUGGAGUAGCUGGGACCUCAGGCGCGCGCCACCACGCCCGGCUAAUUUUUUAAAUUUUUUUGUAGAGACGGGGUUGGGGGAGGCGGGGGUUAGGGUUGUCCUGGCUGGUCUUGAACUGCGGGGCCUCAGGUGAUCCGCCUGC